GGAUGGUGGGGCUGGGCUGUCUCCUUCAGGAGAUAAAACCCGAAGACGUCAGCGUGACCAAGAGCCAAGUCCAGUCAUAGCCUCUUGAAAGAGAGCACCUUAAACCAGCGCCUCAGGUGGCAAACCGAGAGCUAUGUGCAGGGAGCUGGGGCGGACGCAGACACGGAGGAACUUCCUGUGAGGCUGCCCCAUGGCUCCAGGGCAGGUCAGGGACCUGGGGGCCUCAAGGACACUUACUCACAAUCUGGCCGGCUGGCAGCACCUGCUCCCUGGUGUCAUUGGAGGACGAGGGCGUCGCUGAGGGGAAGAGACACGCAUGUUGGCCAGGUCCGCUUAGAACCCCAGUACCCCACACCCCCUGCCACCCUUGGUCUCUCAGCACAAUCGGAGACGCAGGCAGGACAACAGGGUCCAUCCCAGGGAAACCCCCCCCCGCAGGGCUCCUGGAGUCCAGCAGGCAGUGGCGUCUGUUCGGACGCCCCUGGCAGGUGCUCACGGUAGCAACUUGGGAAGCCCGUGAAGCCCUCGGCACACACGUCGCACCGCUCCCCAGAGAAGUUGGGCCGGCAGUAGCAGCGACCCGUCAGGUCCUCGCAGGUGCCAUCCGUGAAGUUGGACUCGCAGUUGCAGCCUGGGCAGGGGCAGGAGCCGGGUGGCUGAGCCGGCAGGAAGUGAGGUGGGAGCUGUCAGGGCCCUUCUGUCACCACGGGGAGCAGCCAGCCCAUGAAGUCAUCCAGAGGCAGCCAAGAGAUGGCACCAGAGAUUCCUGGCGCCAUAGCCCUUGGACCCAGCUGUGCCCGAUGCCAAGGACAGAAGCCAAUAAAUCCCCAUGAGCCUUCAAGUCCUUGUCUGACAGUCAUGACCACAACGGCUGGGUGUGAGGGCAGGGCUGGGCGUUCGGAGACCUUCAGAAGCCUAGUCAUGGAGGGCCUGCCCAGGGACCGCCCCCCGCCUCGCCCCCCAGGCCCUGUGGCGGCAGAGACUCACAGGCAAAGAACUGCCAGGGCUGGUAGGUGCGGCCGAAGUCCAUGGACCGCUCCAGCACCCAGAGGUCCGGCCGGGACGGGGGCCCUGGACAGCUGUCCUCGAGGGCCUGGUGGCUGCACAGAUGCUCACAGGAAGGGCAGCCCGCACUGGAGGGCUCCCAUCUGUCUCUGACCUGGUUGUAGCUCCCAGGGCCACACUGGCCGCCCUCGCCAUGACCCGGAGCGAGCGCAGACCCCGGGCUGCAGGACCGCCCUUCCCCCUCCACGCCCUGCUCAGCUCAGCUGCCAGUGCUGACCUUUCCGCUGCUACAUAGUUCUGUGCAAAAGGAAAAAAAAAUUCUUUUAAAGCAAAAGCCAAACAAAA